CAUGGUUGAGAUGUGUAGACAAUUACUGAAGCAAAUAUUUUUAAGUAACUAAGGGAUACAUAAGACGAGUGUGUGUGAUUAUUCCCGUGUUGUAGCCAGCAGGAUGUAACUGAGAGGACUGAACAGGCAUAAUGCUUACUACAGACAACAAUUUAGAAAUUUUAGUACAGGAGCAACUUGCUUGUUAAAUGAAAGAUUACCAAAUAGCCUCUGAAGAGUCCCUACCAGCAAGAAGGCUCUCACCAGACGUGGCCCUUUGACCUUGGAUUUCUCAGCCUUCAAAACUCUUGAGAUGCCCGAUCCCAGGCUCACCGAAGCGAGGUGAUACCAGACUCUCCCAGGCUCACCC
rnacentral:lncRNA from 1 species